AAUAAGUUGGCAGAAUAGUGCAGUUGAUUUAGGAUCAAAAUAUGAAUUUUUAGUUCACUUGUUA
rnacentral:tRNA from 1 species